AUUGAACGCUGGCGGCAUGCUUUACACAUGCAAGUCGAACGGUAACAGGCCUUCGGGUGCUGACGAGUGGCGAACGGGUGAGUAAUGCAUCGGAACGUACCCAGAGGUGGGGGAUAACGCAGCGAAAGCUGUGCUAAUACCGCAUGUGAUCUGAGGAUGAAAGCGGGGGACCGAGCAGCAAUGUUUGGCCUCGCGCCUUUGGAGCGGCCGAUGUCGGUUUAGAUGGUUGGUGGGGUAGAGGCCUGCCAAGGCGACGAUCCGUAGCUGGUCUGAGAGGACGACCAGCGACAUGAGGACGGAAACACGGCCCAGACUACUGCGAUAGGCAGCAGUGGGGAAUUUUGGACAAUGGGCGCAAGCCUGAUACAGCAAUGCCGCGUGCGGGAAGAAGGCCUUCGGGUUGUAAACAGCUUUUGGCAGGAACGAAACGGUGUCCGCUAAUACCGGGCGCUAAUGACGGUACCUGCAGAAUAAGCACCGGCUAACUACGUG
rnacentral:rRNA from 1 species